ensembl:lncRNA
CACUGGUGAUAACUGCAGGGAUGUAUUUGAAAGCCACUGUACCCAUUUUUCUAGAUGAAAAUAUCUUCCCUUGAAUGGCCCAAGUGAAGGUAAAUGACUUCUAGUCUGCCCUCUCUGAAACCCAUGCCCCACUGCUCAUCAAAGAAGACUGAGGUCCUCAAAGAUGAGAAUGGCUGCCUAUUAAAGACCCUUCCAAUAGACUGCAGCACAGUGGAUGGACUAGACAGACAGGUGGAGUCAGGAUUCCACAAGCCCACUGUCCUUCUCUUCUGGUACCCAGGAAUCUGACCAAAACAGCCCUUCUGGUUUUCCUGGGACUAAGCACAUUUGUGGAACACCAGGCAAUCAGAGCUAAAGUUGAGAAAGCCCAGGGCAAACUCAGAUGAGCUGGCUCCCCCUACAAAAUGCUUUCUGCUGAAGGUCGUUAAGAGCUUAUGUGAAGAAAAAUGAGGCAGGACAUCAUGAUGAGAGUGUGUGACAGACCAAGCUGCCCUCCUCAUGGCAACAUGUAACAGAGAGAGAAGAAGAGGAAGGUCUGGGAAUGUCACAUUCCCCUCAGAGGUGCUCCUCCAGUGACUUAACUUUCUCCCAUCAGACUUUUCUUAGUCACUUCCCUGUUGAUAGACACAACAUCCAACACAGACAACUUAAAGGAGAACAGAAUGCACAUUUAUCUGGAAUAAAGUCUCUGCAUAUGUAGCUAAUUAAAGGUCUCAAGAUGAAAUCUUCCUGAAUUUGGGGUGGCCUCAUCAAAGAAAGAGAGGGAGUUAUGGACAUCAAGGAGAUUGUGUAAAGAUGGAGGCAAAUAUUAAGGUUUUGCUGUCUCAGAAAAGGAAAUUUUGCAGAAAGUAUAAGGUACUGGAAGAUUCAAGGAAGGAAGCUUUCUCCAGACCCAUCAGAGAGACAUGGCCCUGCUAU